rnacentral:rRNA from 1 species
GCAUAUCAAUAAGCGGAGGAAAAGAAACCAACAGGGAUUGCCCUAGUAACGGCGAGUGAAGCGGCAACAGCUCAAAUUUGAAAUCUGGCUCUUUCAGAGUCCGAGUUGUAAUUUGCAGAGGGCGCUUUGGAGUUGGCAGCGGUCCAAGUUCCUUGGAACAGGACGUCACAGAGGGUGAGAAUCCCGUACGUGGUCGCUAGCCUUCGCCGUGUAAAGCCCCUUCGACGAGUCGAGUUGUUUGGGAAUGCAGCUCUAAAUGGGAGGUAAAUUUCUUCUAAAGCUAAAUACUGGCCAGAGACCGAUAGCGCACAAGUAGAGUGAUCGAAAGAUGAAAAGCACUUUGGAAAGAGAGUCAAAUAGCACGUGAAAUUGUUGAAAGGGAAGCGCUUGCAGCCAGACUUGCCUGUAGUUGCUUAUCCGGACUCUUGUCCGGUGCACUCUUCUAUAGGCAGGCCAGCAUCAGUUUGGGCGGUUGGAUAAAGGUCUCUGUCACGUACCUCUCUUCGGGGAGGCCUUAUAGGGGAGACGACAUGCAACCAGCCUGGACUGAGGUCCGCGCAUCUGCUAGGAUGCUGGCGUAAUGGCUGUAAGCGGCCCGUCUUGAAACACGGACCAAGGAGUCUAACAUCUAUGCGAGUGUUUGGGUGUCAAGCCCAGACGCGUAAUGAAAGUGAACGGAGGUGGGAACCCUUUGGGUGCACCAUCGACCGAUCCUGAUGUCUUCGGAUGGAUUUGAGUAAGAGCAUGGCUGUUGGGACCCGAAAGAUGGUGAACUAUGCUUGAAUAGGGUGAAGCCAGAGGAAACUCUGGUGGAGGCUCGCAGCGGUUCUGACGUGCAAAUCGAUCGUCAAAUUUGGGCAUAGGGGCGAAAGACUAAUCGAACUAUCUAGUAGCUGGUUCCUGCCGA